GACUGCGUGGAUGGGCAGGCUGGUCUGGAUCCGUGCUGUUCGCAAAUGCAAUAUGUUGGUUUUCUUGUGGUGCGUCUGAUGUAAAUUUGCAUGAAAAAUUGCAGUUACAUGUAUUGUAUUAAUAUACUUUGUAUUUAUUAACUAACAUUUAUGUACCUUUUCAGAUGUUAUAUAGGGAAGCAUUUCUUUUGUAUGGCAGAUAAUGCUGCAGUGAGAAACCAAGAAAUUCCUAUUGUUGUGUGCCAUGGAGUGUCGUGGAAAAAGGGAUAUGGAAAAUACAGGGAUAAGGAUGUGUGAAGCUGCAGGAAAGCAAGCUGGAAGCUAUAUACCCAGAAUUCCAGGAGAAUAGGGGCUGUACGUCUGCGAAGGGUAUUGUUAUGAGAUGUAGGGAGUUGCUCAACAGAUUGAAUUGUUAAUUGUGAAAUAGCAGUGAGGCAGAAUGGCUACAAAACAUGGACUUCAGAAGAGAAGGCCUGUAUUCUACAUGCUGUAUUGAGGGAACAAUAUUGGAUUUUCAGAUUUCAUGCAAAUGAUAGAAAACAUUUAACAAGUUUAUACUGGAUACUGAACAAUAUGGCGUACAGAAGUUUGGAUUGUUUUGGCUGGAUAGUUUGUACAGUAUGGUGAAACUAGAGGAUGAAAGCUCACAUACAAAACAAAUCUCAACAAGCUACAGUAUUACAUCGGCUGUUUGGUCUGCAGAUAACAAGUCAGCGGUUUGACCUCCAGAUCAGCAGUGUACCCUCGUAAAUUGGUACAGCUUGUGAGCAAGAUAGCAGGUCCGUCUAACAACCUACUGCAUCACUGCCACUUACAUGCUCAGAUGAAGAUUGUGGAUCAAAGCAUGCUGUGAUAGAAAUGAUGUUGUCAGGAUUUGAGAUGAAGACAUGUAGGAAUGAUAUGGUGACAGUGUGCUCAGCAACAGUCUCCUCUCUACACACAUUUCUCUAUAGAUACGGUAUGUUCAUGUGUUCAUAUUCUUUGUUCCUUAGAACAUUAGGAAAGUCAUACCAUUACUUUGUGUUAACCCUUACCCUGCUAAAUUUCUAUAAUGAACUUGUCCAUCUUUAAAUUUGAACAGUAAAAUUAACUGUUUAAACAGAUGCUUACCAAAAAGAUACUGACUGAAUGGUGGAAAGUGCAGAUCUUGAUAAGACAUCAUGGAUAUGCAGGCUGAUCAAGAUCUACACUGGUCACAAAGGCAGAAUCAAUCGUGUCUAGCAUGAUAAAGGUUAAGAGACUAGAUAUUUCCGGACUAGUAACAGUGUGGAAACACAGGGACAUAAGAUUUAGGGAAGCAUGACAAUUGUUUCUGCCAGAUUAUGUUAAAUUUUAAAUACUUAUACUGUAAGAAAGAAGUAAUAAUUCUUUAUUUGCAUGUUACAUACCCCAUUGAAAAUGAGGAUUUAUAUUGUCAUUCAGUGCCUUCUAUCACUCAGCCCCACAUGUUAGUCAGUCCCUGAAUCAGUAAACCAUUUACUUGUAGUUUCUGAUCAAUAACUUAAGACUAGAGUGAUCAGACUAUUAUUUAAUCAAAUGAUUAUCUGUUGUCAGUAGAUGACUGCUGUUGUUUCAGGUCAGGUUAUCAGAGGUAUCUGUGACCUUUAAACUGAAAACUGUUUUCAGUAAAUAACCAGAAAUCUUGGGCCUACAAUCACCAAAUUUGAUAUGAAUUAUAGUGAUGUGAUUGUUUACUGUCAGUAGACCAAGGGCCUGCAUGCCUAGUGUCAUGAUCACUGCAUCCUUGAGACUGAAAACCAUUUUCAGUCAGUCACAGGAGAAAUCUAUGACCAGUGCUGUUUUUGGGUUCUUAAUUUCAUUAAUCAUUGUCACAUUGACCCUGAGACUGAAAGUAGUUUGCAGUCUAUGUCUGGUAAAUAUACAGGUGCCAGUCUUUGUAAGAUAAUUGUUUAUGGUCAGUUUAUCACCCAAAGGCAUAUUAUUUUAGGGGUCAGUAUGUUAAAUUUCUAUGACAGCAAAUAGUUUCUGAACAAUAAUUCUGGGAUAUGUUGGGGCUAAUGCCUAAUGCCUUCAAACUUAUAAGAUGAUUGGCUUUUGUCAGUAAACCCUUAAUGUUUCGGAAAAAUCGGUAUGUCAAAGGUCAAGGCCAUGACAAUUUUGACCAUUGAAUAACUAUAGGUCACUUGACCCUAAGGCCUGUGAUCAUAAGACUUCACAAGACAAGUGACAGAAGCCUGCAGUCAGUAGAUGCCAUAACUUUUUAGGGGCCAGCAUUUCAAAGGUCAAGGUCAAAAUGGCACUGAAGCUUAAAAUUGUUUUCAAACAAUAGCUAGUAUAUGUCUGGACCUUAAUGGUCUAGUUGUAUAAUUGAUUGUUUGUUGUCAUAUUACCCCUAUUGUUUUUGGGGGUCAUUAGCAUAAAGGAUAAGGUCACAUUAUACCAGUACUUUAGCCUGAAAAUUAUGAUACCAGUUAUCUUUGACAGGCUAUCUUGUUAGUUAUAACAAAUAGAACAACUUUGAACAUCAGUUGUGAAUAGUACACAGAAUGAAAUGGAAAUUUGGACAACUGAGUGAUUAAUUUGUAUUAAUACAUAUGUUACUGUAUAUAGUAACAAAAAUGAAUGUGUUUUCAACAGGUUAUUGCUUUCACGCACUGAUUAUCACUUAUCGGCCCGGGCCGAAAACUCAUAAUCAUAAUCCGCCCGGUGAACACGUGCGCGUGAAACCAAUAGCUACAUAAAACGUCAUCAUAGACGUCAUAAUGGUCUGUCACUGGUCUACACGUUAAACCGCUGUUUAUCGCAGAAUAUAGAUUAGUAAUAAAACAGGACAUGCACAUAUUUGCUUUGGAGCCAGAGUUCCGAGUUUCAACAGUGUUCGAGUAUGCGUUGUAAAACAGCAUGAUUCUCACCAAUUUCGACGAAGUAGGCCUAACGGGUUUCUUCUCAGUGAAAAUGCUAUGAAUGCUUUUCAUAAACAUAGAUCUAGCUAGAUCUAGAUCUAUCUAGCUAUUGUUAAUAAAAUUGCAGUUUUUUUGUUGUUUUUUUCAUGAACUGGCUCGAAGUAGAUCUAUGUGUUGUUCCACAUUUUUAGAAUGGCGAUUUGAUGAGUUUGAUAGAUAUAGUCUACAUUACGAAUUUACUUUUAGCUCCUGACCGACAAGAAAUUCUGUCUAAAUGUUCAAGAGUAAGUUUACUGUAGUAAACUCACUUAUGACCCCAAAUUGCUUCCGGCUACGAACAAACACAAUUUUUGAGACAAGAGUAGCCUACCCCAAACUAUUUAGCCAUUGAAAUCUAGCGACAGGAGUUGUAAUUCUACCUUCCUUGAGUAGUGCAACAAAACAUAUGUAUUAAAGACAUUAAUACACGCAAGAGCCUGGCCGGGAGGUGAUAAUCGGCCCGAAAUUCAUAAUGGC
rnacentral:misc_RNA from 1 species